rnacentral:rRNA from 1 species
UACGUAGGGGGCUAGCGUUGUCCGGAAUCAUUGGGCGUAAAGCGCGUGUAGGCGGCCCGGUAAGUCAGCUGUGAAAGCCGGGGGCUCAACCCUCGAAAGCCGGUGGAGACUGUCGGGCUAGAGUACGGAAGAGGCGAGUGGAAUUCCUGGUGUAGCGGUGGAAUGCGCAGAUAUCAGGAGGAACACCAACGGCGAAGGCAGCUCGCUGGGACUGUACUGACGCUGAGACGCGAAAGCGUGGGGAGCAAACAGG